AAGACUAUACUUUCAGGGAUCAUUUCUAUAGUUUAUUACUAAAAGACAAAGAUUCCCAGGCACAGUGGUGCAUGCCUGUUAUCCCAGCAACUCAGGAGGCUGAG
rnacentral:snoRNA from 1 species